UAUCUUCUACAAAGAGAGUUCCACAUGGUA
rnacentral:piRNA from 1 species